UCAAGCGGAGGACGACCGUAGCUUCUCACCGCUGUAGAAUGAUUUUCCGGCGACCAUUUCGAGCGAUUCCAGUCUCAAAAUGACCAGUGAGGUGCAAGCCUUCUUUUUCGUCCUUAAUCGCGUUGUGGGAUUAUCGGAAAAGAAAGUUGCAGGAAAGGAAAGUUCUCACCGGCAGCUCAGUUUUUAAGCUUUUCUGGCCAUCUCCGAAGAGGCUAGGCUGAUCAGAGCUUAUCAACGGACUCCCCUCGUCACAAGCUUUCCAAUAACACUAAUUUUGCAACGAUCGGCCUCCGUUUAAAAAUCUACGGCCGAGAUCGUCCGUAAAUUUUUCCGAACGAUCGGGGGUCGGAUCGGAAAAUCAAAAGCGGAAAUCGUCAUCAGCGCGUCAUUUCGAGUCUUAUGGUGUGUACGGAUCGUCGAUUAGACUCCGACAGCCGGAGAUAAUCUAUCAGUUCAUCUCACUCCACCCGAGGCUUCGGAGCAGAGUUAAGGGUCGUCAAA